GGGAUCGUAGCUCAAUGGUAGAGCGUCCUCUUUAGAAAAGUGGAAGAUCGGGGUUCGAAUCCCUGCGACUCCA